GACGAACGCUGGCGGCGUGCCUAAUACAUGCAAGUAGAACGCUGAAGGAGGAGCUUGCUCUUCUGGAUGAGUUGCGAACGGGUGAGUAACGCGUAGGUAACCUGCCUGGUAGCGGGGGAUAACUAUUGGAAACGAUAGCUAAUACCGCAUAACAGUAGAUGUUGCAUGACAUUUACUUAAAAGGUGCAAUUGCGUCACUACCAGAUGGACCUGGGUUGUAUUAGCUAGUUGGGGGGGUAACGGCUCACCAAGGCGACGAUACAUAGCCGACUUGAGAGGGGAUCCGCCCAACUGGGACUGGGACACGGGCCAGACUUCUACGGGGAGGAGCAGUAGGGGAACUUCGGAAAUGGACGGAAGGCUGAACGAGGAACGCCGGGUGAGGGAAGAAAGUUCUCGGAUCGUAAAGCUCUGUUGUGAGGGAAGAAAGAGUGUUAGGGUAGAAAGUUCACACUGUGACGGUAUCUUACCAGAAAGGGACGGCUAACUACGUG
rnacentral:rRNA from 1 species